rnacentral:rRNA from 1 species
GACGAACGCUGGCGGCGUGCUUAACACAUGCAAGUCGAACGGAAAGGCCCUGCUUUUGUGGGGUGCUCGAGUGGCGAACGGGUGAGUAACACGUGAGUAACCUGUCCUUGACUUUGGGAUAACUUCAGGAAACUGGGGCUAAUACCGGAUAGGAGCUCCUGCUGCAUGGUGGGGGUUGGAAAGUUUCGGCGGUUGGGGAUGGACUCGCGGCUUAUCAGCUUGUUGGUGGGGUAGUGGCUUACCAAGGCUUUGACGGGUAGCCGGCCUGAGAGGGUGACCGGCCACAUUGGGACUGAGAUACGGCCCAGACUCCUACGGGAGGCAGCAGUGGGGAAUAUUGCACAAUGGGCGGAAGCCUGAUGCAGCAACGCCGCGUGCGGGAUGACGGCCUUCGGGUUGUAAACCGCUUUCGCCUGUGACGAAGCGUGAGUGACGGUAAUGGGUAGAGAAACACCGGCUAACUACGU